rnacentral:lncRNA from 1 species
CCCUGGGCCAAUCAUCUUGUUUUGUGAGUGAAAGGGCUGAGACCAAAUCAGUUAAGGGACUUUUCAAGCGUAGUGAGUGAGAUGAUGGGAGAUGCCUGAGAGCUCUCGUGGUGGUUGGAGCUCAGCUUCCUCCAACCAAAAUUGGUGUUGGGGCAGAGGCAGAGGAGAGCAGCAGCUAUUUGAUCCUGGCUUUAUCCCUUCUCCAGACCCUGUGGAAGCUUGUCUGCUGGAGUCCUCAUCUAACUGCUCUCUGCCCCUUGGAGAGAAACAGGGUGCUGUGGCCACACUAGGGAGGAAGUAACUGGCCCAGUGUUCUCACCUCAGCAGGACAGCACGGAAUGACCCAGAAUGACCCCGUUCGGGAUGGUCCUUGGCAUCGCCCUCUGUCUCUGACCUGUGGCAGAGGAAAGAAGGAGCAAGAAACACGGUGUCAGAGAGAGGGAUAAAUUAAGAGGCCAAACAUAAAGAACAUGAAGAACACUCAUGAUUGUUUUGUUAUUAGAAUUUGGGUUUACAUAUGUGUAUGUAUCUCGGAAGGAUAUUGUAAGGAAUAAAAUCAUUUUAUAUGUAUAAAGUGCUGAGAAU